GGUUAAGUUAGAAAGGGCGCACGGUGGAUGCCUUGGCACUAGGAGCCGAUGAAGGACGGGACGAACACCGAUAUGCUUCGGGGAGCUGUAAGCAAGCUUUGAUCCGGAGAUUUCCGAAUGGGGAAACCCACCACUCGUAAUGGAGUGGUAUCCAUAUCUGAAUACAUAGGAUAUGAGAAGGCAGACCCGGGGAACUGAAACAUCUAAGUACCCGGAGGAAGAGAAAGCAAAUGCGAUUCCCUGAGUAGCGGCGAGCGAAACGGGACCAGCCCAAACCAAGAGGCUUGCCUCUUGGGGUUGUAGGACACUCUGUACGGAGUUACAAAGGAACGAGGUAGAUGAAGAGGUCUGGAAAGGCCCGCCAUAGGAGGUAACAGCCCUGUAGUCAAAACUUCGUUCUCUCCUGAGUGGAUCCUGAGUACGGCGGAACACGUGAAAUUCCGUCGGAAUCCGGGAGGACCAUCUCCCAAGGCUAAAUACUCCCUAGUGACCGAUAGUGAACCAGUACCGUGAGGGAAAGGUGAAAAGCACCCCGGAAGGGGAGUGAAAGAGAUCCUGAAACCGUGUGCCUACAAGUAGUCAGAGCCCGUUAACGGGUGAUGGCGUGCCUUUUGUAGAAUGAACCGGCGAGUUACGAUCCCGUGCAAGGUUAAGCAGAAGAUGCGGAGCCGCAGCGAAAGCGAGUCUGAAUAGGGCGAAUUGAGUACGUGGUCGUAGACCCGAAACCAGGUGAUCUACCCAUGUCCAGGGUGAAGUUCAGGUAACACUGAAUGGAGGCCCGAACCCACGCACGUUGAAAAGUGCGGGGAUGAGGUGUGGGUAGGGGUGAAAUGCCAAUCGAACCUGGAGAUAGCUGGUUCUCUCCGAAAUAGCUUUAGGGCUAGCCUCAAGGUAAGAGUCUCGGAGGUAGAGCACUGAUUGGACUAGGGGCCCCUACCGGGUUACCGAAUUCAGUCAAACUCCGAAUGCCGAUGACUUAUCCUUGGGAGUCAGACUGCGAGUGAUAAGAUCCGUAGUCGAAAGGGAAACAGCCCAGACCGCCAGCUAAGGUCCCAAAGUAUACGUUAAGUGGAAAAGGAUGUGGAGUUGCUUAGACAACCAGGAUGUUGGCUUAGAAGCAGCCACCAUUUAAAGAGUGCGUAAUAGCUCACUGGUCGAGUGACUCUGCGCCGAAAAUGUACCGGGGCUAAACGUAUCACCGAAGCUGCGGACUGUUCUUCGAACAGUGGUAGGAGAGCGUUCUAAGGGCUGUGAAGCAAGACCGGAAGGACUUGUGGAGCGCUUAGAAGUGAGAAUGCCGGUAUGAGUAGCGAAAGAGGGGUGAGAAUCCCCUCCACCGAAUGCCUAAGGUUUCCUGAGGAAGGCUCGUCCGCUCAGGGUUAGUCGGGACCUAAGCCGAGGCCGAAAGGCGUAGGCGAUGGAUAACAGGUUGAUAUUCCUGUACCACCUCCUCACCAUUUGAGCAAUGGGGGACGCAGGAGGAUAGGGUAAGCGCGGUAUUGGAUAUCCGCGUCCAAGCAGUUAGGCUGGGAAAUAGGCAAAUCCGUUUCCCGUGAAGGCUGAGCUGUGAUGGCGAGCGAAUUAUAGUAGCGAAGUUCCUGAUUCCACACUGCCAAGAAAAGCCUCUAGCGAGGUGAGAGGUGCCCGUACCGCAAACCGACACAGGUAGGCGAGGAGAGAAUCCUAAGGUGAUCGAGAGAACUCUCGUUAAGGAACUCGGCAAAAUGACCCCGUAACUUCGGGAGAAGGGGUGCUCUGUUAGGGUGCAAGCCCGAGAGAGCCGCAGUGAAUAGGCCCAGGCGACUGUUUAGCAAAAACACAGGUCUCUGCGAAGCCGUAAGGCGAAGUAUAGGGGCUGACGCCUGCCCGGUGCUGGAAGGUUAAGAGGAGCGCUUAGCGUAAGCGAAGGUGCGAAUUGAAGCCCCAGUAAACGGCGGCCGUAACUAUAACGGUCCUAAGGUAGCGAAAUUCCUUGUCGGGUAAGUUCCGACCCGCACGAAAGGCGCAACGAUCUGGGCACUGUCUCAACGAGAGACUCGGUGAAAUUAUAGUACCUGUGAAGAUGCAGGUUACCCGCGACAGGACGGAAAGACCCCGUGGAGCUUUACUGUAGCCUGAUAUUGAAUGUUGGUACAGCUUGUACAGGAUAGGUAGGAGCCUUGGAAACCGGAGCGCCAGCUUCGGUGGAGGCAUCGGUGGGAUACUACCCUGGCUGUAUUGACCUUCUAACCCGCCGCCCUUAUCGGGCGGGGAGACAGUGUCAGGUGGGCAGUUUGACUGGGGCGGUCGCCUCCUAAAAGGUAACGGAGGCGCCCAAAGGUUCCCUCAGAAUGGUUGGAAAUCAUUCGCAGAGUGUAAAGGCACAAGGGAGCUUGACUGCGAGACCUACAAGUCGAGCAGGGACGAAAGUCGGGCUUAGUGAUCCGGUGGUUCCGCAUGGAAGGGCCAUCGCUCAACGGAUAAAAGCUACCCCGGGGAUAACAGGCUUAUCUCCCCCAAGAGUCCACAUCGACGGGGAGGUUUGGCACCUCGAUGUCGGCUCAUCGCAUCCUGGGGCUGUAGUCGGUCCCAAGGGUUGGGCUGUUCGCCCAUUAAAGCGGUACGCGAGCUGGGUUCAGAACGUCGUGAGACAGUUCGGUCCCUAUCCGUCGCGGGCGCAGGAAAUUUGAGAGGAGCUGUCCUUAGUACGAGAGGACCGGGAUGGACGCACCGCUGGUGUACCAGUUGUUCUGCCAAGGGCAUCGCUGGGUAGCUAUGUGCGGACGGGAUAAGUGCUGAAAGCAUCUAAGCAUGAAGCCCCCCUCAAGAUGAGAUUUCCCAUUCCGCAAGGAAGUAAGAUCCCUGAAAGAUGAUCAGGUUGAUAGGUCUGAGGUGGAAGUGUGGCGACACAUGGAGCUGACAGAUACUAAUCGAUCGAGGACUUAACCAA
rnacentral:rRNA from 1 species